GGGGUUAUAGCUCAGUGGUACAGCAUUCGACUGCAGAUCGAGAGACUCAUGGUUCAAACCCGGAUGUUCCCU